GCACUCGUAGCUCAGCUGGAUAGAGUNNCUCCGAAGGCAGGGGUCGUGGGUUCGAAUCCCGCCGAGUGCGCCA
rnacentral:tRNA from 1 species